UUAGUAGGUAGAUUAAGAAUCUGAUGGUAACAUGAAAGAGUACAGGAUAAAAUGAACACAAAGGCAGAGUGAGUUAUUGCUGAGGAAAUGCACAUUUGUAUUUAAUGUGAUUUUACUUUCUUUUCUAUUCUUUUUUUGUAAACCACCAACUUGCAACAAUUAGAUUAUAGUUAUAGGCAGCUUGGAGAAGGAUGUUUUGAAUUAACAACCAAAUUGUCAGGUUUCUUUGUGGAGCGUUUUAUUGUUGGAUACAUUUGGAGACAAUCAGUCCCCUGGGAGGCUCAUUUGUCAUUCACAUCAUUCUGCUGAGCAGAUGACUUACCCACAAAGCAUUCCCCUUGCUUUCCUCCUCCCAGCUCUCAGCACCCCAGCCAUGCUUCCUUGGGCCACCAGAACUGUGCACAGUAUCAGAAACUGGAAGGGACCUCAGAGAACAGUGAGUGUGAGCCUUGGUUCACGUAGGAAUCGCUGUGCAAGGUCAUCUAUCACAAUCAAGUCCUGUGAUGGAAGUUCAAAUACAAGGUCUUCCCUAGUUCUUCACUACCUCUUGUAUCUCAGAUAAGCUCCAUAACUUUUCUAACUUCUGGUUCUCUCAUCAUAUAAACUUUCAGAAAUAAGGUGAGGACUCCAUGAUCAGAUACCUCACACUGUUUGUUGAGUGCUUAUAGAAGGCACUCAACAAACAGGAGUGUUCCAUUUCCCUUCCCUUGAUUGUUGGGACCCUUAAAAUGUUGUGGGAUAUGUUCCUUUGCAUCUUUCCAGCUUUGGCUUCUCUGACCGUGAAGAGUAAGUCUUUCUUGUAGUCACCUUUCAGAUAUUGACAAAUAGCUCUCAUUGCCCCUGUGCCCUCUUUUCUUCCACAUGAAACAGCUCUGAGCUUUUCAGCUCUUUCUCAUAGCAUGGUUUGUCAUCCCCUCUUUAUCCUGGUCUCUCUGAUCUGCAUGGAUCCUGUUUUCCCAGUCAUCCUGAUGCAGUGUCAUAAUUCAUAUCAGGAGGCUGCUAUGAGGGUGGUAGUUUGUACCUCAUACCUCUCCAUCUUUUCUUCUCUCACCUCAAUCUCAAACUCUUCAUGCCUUCACAUGCCCCACACUCACCUACUCAGCAUAAAGAAGGCCAUAUUGUUGAAUCUGGUCCAGAUGCAGAAGAUAUUGAGAGGAAGGUGGGCCUCCAGAUGUUUCCAUGAGCAACUUUCCCCUGUAUCCUCAUAGCAAAAACUCUCCCCACCUGUUUUAAAGGGGAGGGCCCAUAUCACCUCCCUUGCCCUCUGAUGAGGCUAUUAAGGAUAAUUUUCCUUCUCCAAAGGCUUCUGCAGGAACACAUGAGAAAAAAAAAUCUGUGGAUUCUUCUACAAUACUUUUGGUUCCUCAUAAGCAUCAGCGAGAGAGACAAUGCCAAGUAGUUGGGGCAUCAGUUAAUGUGGGUCCCUUACUCAUUCCCAUGCCAACUAUUGAUACAUUAGUAAAAGCUAAGGCAAUGUUCAAAACUGUAAAUAUGGGCCAAAGGCUUUAACAUAUAUCCAAAGCAUCUGGAAAUAUAAAGAGAUUCGUGAUAAACUGGGGGCAAAACAGCAACUUUAAUCUCUGAUUUACUCAUUGUUAGAAAAUCAAAGACCCCAAAUACUUAAUGCCCAAUGAAAUCUCAAGCCAGGACUUAAAAUGUGUAGACUUAAAAUAAAACUCAGAGUAGAGGUGUAUAAUUUGACAUCAGCUCAAGUCUAAGGGUUCAAAACCAGGCCUGGGAAAGCCAGGGCAAGGGCAAUGGGAUCUCCAGCUUGUUUCAAAGCUGAGUCACCAAAGGUGAGUAGAGGUAAGUGGGGUUAGAGAAAAGCACUGAGCUGUGUGUACCCUGCCGGAAUUCCCAAUGCUUUCCUUCUUCCUGGAAACGGGGUUGGAAGGUUGGCAUGGGUCUUUGCUCAAGCACUUAGAAGGGAGCAGUUUGGAGACUCCUAGUCACAAAUGAUGUCCUGAAAACUCAGGGGACUGAAAAUCCAAACUUUCUUUAAAACCAGUGGUCAGCAGCAAAAUGCUCACUCACUUCGAUCAUUUGGAAGGUGGAUACUACUCUGAUUUAAAGACUGAUUCUGGAAGUGUUAUAAUAGUGCAUAAUGACUUUGAAACAGACUACUCCAUCCUUUUGCUUUCUAAAUGGAAGAAAGAAGUAUCUCUGCUCUUUCCUGCCUUUGGGCAUAAGCUGAACCCAGAAUGUUAAGAAAGGGUAGACCCAUCAUAUAGAGUAAGUUACUCCAAGGUCAUUGGGCCCAAAGAACUCCCACUUCCUGCAUAUGCCGAGAGGUCAUAUGGGAGUUGCCUGCCUUAAAUAAUAUUGUAAAAAUAUUUUUUAUUCAUAUUCAUUAGAGUUAAGGCAUUAUAUCAUCCUAGAAAAGCUAACAAAUGUCUUAUUAAGGAACUAGUUUUUUUUGAGCCAUUUGCUUUGAAAUUUUUUUUAUUAUUGCUUUAUAUUUUAUUUUCAUACUUACUAUCAUUCAUUUAAGUAUAGCUGAUUUACAGUGUUGUUUCAGUUUCUUCUUUACAGUGUAGUGAUCUAUUCAUACAUUCUUUUUCUCAUAUUAUCUUCCAUCAUGGUCUAUCCAAAGAGAUUAGAUGUAGUUCCCUGUGCUGUAAAGUAGGACCUCAUUGCUUAUCUAUUCUAAAUGUAAUAAUUUGCCUCUGCUAAUCCCAAAGUCCCUGUCCAUCCCACGUCCUCCCUCCUCCCUCUUGGCAACCACAAAUCUGUUCUCUAUGUCUGAGAGUCUGUUGCUAUUUUGUAGUUAGGUUCCUUUGCACCAUAUUUUAGAUUCCACAUAUAAAUGAUUUCAUAUGGUAAUUGUCUUUCUCUUUCUGACUUACUUCACUUAAUAUAAGAAUCUCUAUUUGCACCCAUGUUGCUGUAAAUGACAUUAUUUUGUUAUUUUUUAAUGUCUGGAUGGUGUUCCAUUGUAUAUAUGCACCACAUCUUAAUCCACUCAUCUGUCAAUGGACAUUUAGGUUGUUUCCGUGUCUUGGCUAUUGUGGAUAAUACUGCAAUGAACAUAGAAGUGCAUGUAUCUUUUUGAAUUAUAGUUUUGUCUGGAUAUAUGCCAGGAGUGGGAUUGCUGGGUCAUAUGUUAGUUCUAUAUUUAGUUUUCUGAGGAACCUGUAUACUGGUUUCCAUAGUGGUAGUACCAAUUUACAUUUCUACCUACAGUGAAGGAGGGUUCCCUUUUCUCCACAUUUGUUAUUUGUUGACUUGUUAAUGGUGGCCAUUCUGACUGGUGUAAGGUGGUACCUCAUUGUAGUUUUUAUUUGCAUUUCUUUAAUAAUUGGUGAAGUUGAGGCAAGAACACACAGUGAAGGAAAGAUAGUCUCCUCAAUAAAUGGUGCUAGGAAAACUGGACAGCUACGAAAACUGGACAGUUACAUGCAAGAGAGUGAAAUUAGAACAAUCUUUAAUACCACACACAAAAAUAAACUCAAAAUGGAUUAAAUAUCUAAAUGUAGGGCCAGAUGCUAUAAAAUUCUUAGACGGAAGCAUAGGCAGAAUGCUCUUUGACAUAAAUCACAGAAACAUCUUAUUUGAUCCACCUUCUAGAAUAAUGAUAAUAAAAAAAUAAAUAAACCAGUAGGACCUAAUUAAACUCAAAAGCUUUCGUACAGCAAAGGAAACCAUUAAGAAAACAAAAAGAUAACUCAUAGAAUGGGAGAAAAUCUUUGCAAACGAUGCAACUGACAGGGGCUUAAACUCCAAAAUAUACAAACAACUCCUACAACUCAACAACAACAAAAAAUGAUGAACAAUCCUGUUGAAAAGAUGGGCAGACUUAAAUAGAUAUUUCUCCAAAGAAGAUAUAUGGACAGCCAAGCAGGCACAUGAACAUAUGCUCACCAUCACUAAUUAUUAGAGAUAUUCUAUAUAUCUUUUAACAAUCACUCCUUACAGAAUCCAGUCCUCUAAGGUCUAGCUGAUUUCUUCCCUUCAUACCAAUGAGAACACUUAGAUGUAAAAUGUCUCAGAGUGACUUUCUCAAGGUCCCAGGCUUUUUAGUUCAUAAAUCUGACAUGACUUCCCCUGGACAGUAUCAGUCAAUGGUAUCCUCCAAAGGCCUGGAUCCCAAGGAGAGAAGAGCUAGGAGUAGAGGAAAGAAAUUUAGAGGAAUUUGAACUACCCAGUUGUAAGGUCUGGGCCAAGUCAUUGUGCCUCUCUGAGUCUCAGGUUUCCAUUUAAGAAGUAACGAUGCCAUUCCUUACUUCACAGAGUUGCUGUGAUGAUCAAAUGGGAUCAUAGGCAAGAAUGUUCUGUGCAUGGUUAAUGUAUAUGGUCAGUGCUGCAUGUAAGUAAGCAGAAUCUGAUUCUGUCACCAGAAACUAAUUUCAACAAAGAAGCUGGGAAGAAGUUACACAGAAGAGGUACAGGACAUAGUAAAUGAGAGGACCCAUUGUCCAGCCUUCAGGGCUCUCAGAGGCCAGCUGCCAGGGCUGUAACCUCUGGAAGGAUCUGGUAGAACUGGGAAAGCAGACUAGAAGCUGCCUUGAUACUUAUUCAGCUCAUAGAGACCAAAUAUCCCACUGCGCAUGAUGUCCAAGGAGGAACAAAUAUAGAUGCCCUCAUCUUCCCUGAAUCAUUGAUUGUGUUUGUCUUGUGAAAAGUCCUAUUGCUGUCUUUAUGGCAAACUGUAAAGAAGUAUUUUUGCUCCUCAUUUAUCCAAGAAUAACACAAUCCCCCCCUAAAUAGCUAUUUUAUUAUGACCGCAAUCAAAGCUGAAAACAAUUUCAUUUUCUCCUUUGAGGUACUUGGAAAUGAUUUUUAUCUCAUAAUGAAGUGAGACAGCCCAGGGUUUGCUUCUUAGAGAAAGCAGACAAGGGGUAUGAAUCCAGGGACCCAGGAGUCAGAGCUGCCUGUGUUGGGGGGGGGUGCUUCCCCCCAGCCUGUGACCAGAUGGCAUUUCAGAAACCAUUUGCAGUGCUCUUUCUCAGCAGGCUCUCACCAUACACGAGGGCAGAGCCAUAGAUUCACAUCACUUGGAAGCAGGGAAAUAUACCCAGGUGGGAGAAAACCAGUGCUUCGACAGAUUCCAGGCCAGGGUAGGGAUUGAGAGAGGAAAAAUGAUCUGUGACAGGGGAUAGGUACGUCCCAGUGGUGCCCUCUCAGUAGCAAGGCUCCAUCUGGGGCCCCAUCCUGGAGAACGGCCUCACCACUGCCCCAAGACAGAUGCCUGAGUCCUAUGUGAUGCCCCCAUGUCCCCAUAUGUCUUCAGGUGUCAUGUCUUCCUUGUUUCUCUCUUGUUUUUGUCCCCCCACCCCCGAAUUCACCUCCCUCUGUGGGACCAUCUGCUCAGACACUAUUCUAGACACUCACUUAUAGACAAUCAUAGCAUCCCCUGAGUGGUCUCUCUGCUUCUACCUUGCCUCCACCCAUUCCUCCUCCAUGUCACCAGGCCUGUCUUACACUUCGGUCCUCUACUAAAAUCCUCCAGGAUCUCUCAAUUACUUUGAAUUAAGUCCCAAUUUCUCAGUCUGGUAUAUAAGACUAUCCAAUUAUUUGGCCUCUGCUUACCUCUUGCUACUUCGAAGAAUUAUCCUUAUGAGAUUAUUAUAUAAAAAUGAAACUAGGAGUUCCCGUCGUGGCGCAGUGGUUAACAAUCCGACUAGGAACCAUGAGGUUGCGGGUUUGGUCCCUGCCCUUGCUCAGUGGGUUAACGAUCCGGCGUUGCCGUGAGCUGUGAUGUAGGUUGCAGACGCGGCUCGAUCCCCGUUGCUGUGGCUCUGGUGUAGGCUGGUGGCUACAGCUCAGAUUCAACCCCUAGCCUGGGAACCUCCAUAUGCCGCGGGAGCGGCCCAAGAAAUAGCAACAACAACAACAACAACAACAAAAG
rnacentral:lncRNA from 1 species